rnacentral:rRNA from 1 species
CCUACGGGUGGCAGCAGUGGGGAAUAUUGGACAAUGGGCGAAAGCCUGAUCCAGCCAUGCCGCGUGUGUGAAGAAGGCCUUCGGGUUGUAAAGCACUUUCAGUGGGGAAGAAAGCCUUGGGGCUAAUACCCUCGAGGAAGGACAUCACCCACAGAAGAAGCACCGGCUAACUCCGUGCCAGCAGCCGCGGUAAUACGGAGGGUGCGAGCGUUAAUCGGAAUUACUGGGCGUAAAGCGCGCGUAGGCGGUCUGAUAAGCCGGUUGUGAAAGCCCCGGGCUCAACCUGGGAACGGCAUCCGGAGCUGUCAGGCUAGAGUGCAGGAGAGGAAGGUAGAAUUCCCGGUGUAGCGGUGAAAUGCGUAGAGAUCGGGAGGAAUACCAGUGGCGAAGGCGGCCUUCUGGACUGACACUGACGCUGAGGUGCGAAAGCGUGGGUAGCAAACAGGAUUAGAUACCCCGGUAGUC